rnacentral:rRNA from 1 species
AUUGAACGCUGGCGGCAGGCUUAACACAUGCAAGUCGAGCGGAGCGGCGGACGGGUGAGUAAUGCCUAGGAAUCUGCCUGGUAGUGGGGGAUAACGUCCGGAAACGGGCGCUAAUACCGUAUACUAUUAGAUGAGCCUAGGUCGGAGUAGCUAGGUGGUGGGGUGAAGGCAUACCAGGGCGACGAUCCGUAACUGGUCUGAGAGGAUGAUCAGUCAGACUGGAACUGUGACACGGUCCAGACUCCUACGGGAGGCAGCAGUGGGGAAUAUUGGGCAAUGGGCGAAAGCCUGCAGCAGCCAUGCCGCGUGUGUGAAGAGGGUCUUCGGAUUGUAAAGCUCUUUAAGUUGGGAGGCGUUAGCUACAGAAUAAGCACCGGCUAACUUCGUGCCAGCAGCCGCGGUAAUAC